rnacentral:rRNA from 1 species
AUUGAACGCUGGCGGGAGGCCUUACACAUGCAAGUCGAACGGAGUGGCGAACGGGUGAGUAAUGUAUAGGAAUGUGCCCGGUAGCGGGGGAUAACGACCGGAAAGGGGCGCUAAUACCGCAUACUAUUAGAUCAGCCUAUGUCGGAUUAGCUAGUUGGUGGGGUAAAGGCCUACCAAGGCGACGAUCCGUAACUGGUCUGAGAGGAUGACCAGCCACACUGGGACUGAGACACGGUCCAGACUCCUACGGGAGGCAGCAGUGGGGAAUUUUGGACAAUGGGCGAAACCCUGAUCCAGCCAUGCCGCGUGUGCGAAGAAGGCCUUCGGGUUGUAAAGCACUUUUGGUAGGGAAGCGGUACCUGCAGAAUAAGCACCGGCUAACUACGUGCCAGCAGCCGCGGUAAUUC